UCCGGUUGAUCCUGCCGGAGGCCAUUGCUAUUGGGAUCCGAUUUAGCCAUGCUAGUCGUACGAGUUCAUACUCGUGGCGAAUAGCUCAGUAACACGUGGCCAAACUACCCUUCGGAGCACAAUACCCUCGGGAAACUGAGGCUAAUAGUACAUACCAUACCACCACUGGAAUGAGUGGUAUGCCAAACGCUCCGGCGCCGAAGGAUGUGGCUGCGGCCGAUUAGGUAGACGGUGGGGUAACGGCCCACCGUGCCAAUAAUCGGUAUGGGUCAUGAGAGUGAGAACCCAGAGACGGAAUCUGAGACAAGAUUCCGGGCCCUACGGGGCGCAGCAGGCGCGAAACCUUUACACUGCACGACAGUGCGAUAGGGGGAUCCCAAGUGCACAGGCAUAGCGCCUGUGCUUUUCGGUACCCUAAGGCGGUACCAGAAUAAGGGCUGGGCAAGNACAGUGCGAUAGGGGGAUCCCAAGUGCACAGGCAUAGCGCCUGUGCUUUUCGGUACCCUAAGGCGGUACCAGAAUAAGGGCUGGGCAAGACCGGUGCCAGCCGCCGCGGUAAUACCGGCAGCCCAAGUGAUGGCCGAUCUUAUUGGGCCUAAAGCGUCCGUAGCUGGCCACGCAAGUCCAUCGGGAAAUCCACCUGCCCAACAGGUGGGCGCCCGGUAGAAACUGCGUGGCUUGGGACCGGAAGGCGCGACGGGUACGUCCGGGGNUCCAUCGGGAAAUCCACCUGCCCAACAGGUGGGCGCCCGGUAGAAACUGCGUGGCUUGGGACCGGAAGGCGCGACGGGUACGUCCGGGGUAGGAGUGAAAUCCCGUAAUCCUGGACGGACCGCCGAUGGCGAAAGCACGUCGCGAGAACGGAUCCGACAGUGAGGGACGAAAGCCAGGGUCUCGAACCGGAUUAGAUCCCCGGGUAGUCCUGGCCGUAAACAAUGUCUGCUAGGUGUGGCUCCCACUACGAGUGGGUGCUGUGCCGUAGGGAAGCCGCUAAGCAGACCGCCUGGGAAGUACGUCCGCAAGGAUGAAACUUAAAGGAAUUGGCGGGGGAGCACUACAACCGGAGGAGCCUGCGGUUUAAUUGGACUCAACGCCGGACAUCUCACCAGCAUCGACUGUGAUAAUGACGACCAGGUUGAUGACCUUGUUCGAGUCUCAGAGAGGAGGUGCAUGGCCGCCGUCAGCUCGUACCGUGAGGCGUCCUGUUAAGUCAGGCAACGAGCGAGACCCGCACUCUUACUUGCCAGCAGUAUCGCGAGAUAGCUGGGGACAGUAGGAGGACCGCCGUGGCUAACACGGAGGAAGGAACGGGCAACGGUAGGUCAGUAUGCCCCGAAUGUGCUGGGCAACACGCGGGCUACAAUGGUCGAGACAAAGGGUUCCAACUCCGAAAGGAGACGGUAAUCUCAGAAACUCGAUCGUAGUUCGGAUUGUGGGCUGCAACUCGCCCACAUGAAGCUGGAUUCGGUAGUAAUCGCGUGUCACAAGCGCGCGGUGAAUACGUCCCUGCUCCUUGCACACACCGCCCGUCAAAGCACCCGAGUGAGGUCCGGAUGAGGCGCGCCACGCGCGUCGAAUCUGGGCUUCGCAAGGGGGCUUAAGUCGUAACAAGGUAGCCGUAGGGGAAUCUGCGGCUG
rnacentral:rRNA from 1 species